AUUUUUCAUAUUGGAAAACUGUAAUAAAUAAUGAUAAAAGGAAAAAAAUAAUGAUAAAAGGGAUCUGAAAACUGUAAAAGAAUUUCUGCCCCUCCUAGUGAUUUCCAGUUUCCUCUGGGGAACUGAGAGGACUUGGGGGUGUGAUUGCAAGGCUAGAGCCGAUAAUCACUGAAGGGGAAAGUCCCGAACUUGACAUUAAUCCUAGCAAUCAGUUUGAACUGAUUACUAAGGAGAUGGUUUUUUUAAACAAGGAAAAAUGAAACUAGGGAGAACUGUAUAGCAACACAAGAUCCCUAAGAAAACUUUUACUAAACUUUCUGAAUUCCAGACGUAAUCCAUUAGAGAUAACAGCAUUUAUAGCAUCUAUAUGAACAGGUUGGAGAAACAAAGAAUGAUCAAAUGAAAGCAUAUAGCAUAUGAUUACUCCAUGUAUAGCAUAAGCUGGUAAUCCAUUCAUUUCUCAAUAAAUUUUUAGAAUUGUAAUCUUUUUAAAACAAAAAGAGAAGUAUUGUUGUAGUCUGAACUUCUAAAUUUUUAAUUUCUUUUAGUUUUUAUUUAUUUUUAAGAUUUUAUUUGAGAGAGAAAGCAUGAGCGGGGGAGGGGCAGAGAGAGAGUGAGAGAAACAAGCAGACUCCCCACUGAGCGAGAAGCCCAAUGCAGGGCUUGAUCCCAUGAACCCUGAGUUCAUGACCUAAGCUGAAGUCAGAUGCUUAACUCAACUGAGCCACCCAGGCACCCCCUGAACUUUUUUAAUUAAAGGAGAGAUACAAUUGUAUUCAGGAGAUACUGAUAUGAAUCACUGACAGUGAGAAGACUUUUUCUCCCCCAGUAGUCUGAUGGUCAUUGAGGGAGUCAGGGGUGAGAGAUCAGUGGAACAGAGGUGGAGCUCAGACAAGAGGCUCCCAUCUCAAAAAAAUCCCCGAUGCCUUUGGCCCAGGGCGCCAUCCUGGAGACCUGGGAUCAAAUCCCACAUCGGGUUCCCGGUGCAUGGAGCCUGCUUCUCCCUCUGCCUGUGUCUCUGCCUCUCUCUCUCUCUGUGACUAUCAUAAAUAAAUAAAAAUUAAAAAAAAAAAAACUUAAAAAAAAAUCCCCGAUGAAUUGAUUAGUAAUGGUGUGAAUAGGGAUUUUUCACUUUGCACUGGUUUGGUGGUGUGUGUGUGUGUGUGUGUACAUAUGCUAAUUUUAAGCAAUUGAUUCAGUGAAAUAAAUUAGUGUAUUACUAAUUAGUAUGUCAGACUAUUACUGAAAGUUGUUAUGAGCAGAGGUUUUCAAACUUAUAUAGAUUCUCAGGCCUCACUCUAGGCCUUUGAGUCAGAAUCUUUGAGAGUAGAAUCCUAAUUUAUACAUAUAUAUGUAAUAUAUAUAUAUAUAAUUUAUCAAUAUAUAUUUAUUUCAAUAUAUAAUUUAUAUGUAUUUUUUAAUUUAUUUUAAAGACAGAGAGCAUGAACAGGAGGAGCAGAGGGAGAGGAAGGGAGAACCUGAGGCAGACUCUGUGCUGAGUGAAGAUUCUGAUGCAGGGGCUCAAUCUCAUUACCCUAAGAUCACAACCUGACCUGAAAUAAAGGGCCGGGAGCUUAACUGACUGCACCACCCAGGCAUCGCCCCCCUAGUUUCUAUAUAUUUGAGUCUUACAAUCACCCAGGUUUGGGCUAGGUAGAAAUAAAUGGAUGUGUCUGUUUCCCAUCCUUCAGGUGACACUGGCAUCAGGUCAUUUCUGUUCAACUGCACUGAGGUAACAAGAGUGUCCAGGGGUGGCUCCUGGAAGAGCUCUUCAGACAAUGAACUCCCUGGAGACAUAGCAGACUCAGUGUGAACUCUCCACAGAAUUGGAAAACAUGUUCAGAGGGACUUCAUUUCUAGAUUUGCCUGUUUUAACCCAAGAAUCCAGUGACAUAUAUUCUCCAAAAACCUUUCCUGCUUCCUCCUCUGGAUGCCAACAAUCACAACACAAAAUGUUCCUGGGCUGGCACUGCCUGUGUAUGGAAAUGGGACUGGGGGCACACCAAGGGAGUCAAGCUCAGGAAAGACCCCUGAUCAGCAUGGUUUCUGCUUUCACUAACAGCACAUCACACAUGGUUUUGAAGGUCUAGUGUUUCAGGGAGGUCUCUAAUCUGGAAGGCCUUGCUGAAAGGAAGGGAUGCUCAUAAGAUUGGCUCUCUUUUUGAAAACAAAAAAGACUGGCCAGAUUGACAAAGGGGUAGGGAGUCUUCCUCAAAGAUGGAUUCUUCACCAUCUUAUGACUAGCAGAGAAUUUUACCCUGAUCACCUCUGUGUUCACUUCUGUUCCUUCCAAUCCCCAAACCUCCGUAGCUUAACAUAACAAAGGUUACCAUCUCAUUCACAUCACAGUGUCCUGUACCCCACAUAGGUCUAUGGUCCACAGGGUCAUUCAGGGACUCAGGAUCUUUCCUUCUCACUGUGUUACCAUUUCCUAGGGUCUCAGAUUCUCUACUGGAGUCUUUGCCUUAGACCAGAGGGUGAAGAAUGAGAAAAUAAUGUGGAGGAUCCAUGAGAGCUUUGUUGUGGGCGAAGCUUGAGAAUUCUGGUAGCCAGAACCCAGUUUUGUGGCCUUACUAACUUUAAGGGAGUCUAAGAAAUGUAGGCUAGCUAAGCGCUUAGGCAAAAAUAGAAAUAGCUUUUGGUGAACAUGUAUAUAGUGUUUGCCAGAGUUUGUCACUCUGGCAGCUUUAAAGAUGAGAUGAGAAUGGCACUUUCAUCUAUGGUUUACCUCCCCAAACCCAUAACCCCCAUCUAAUUAUGAGACAAAUACCAUAUAAACCCCAAGUGAAGAAUAUUCUACAAAAUGCCUAACAAGUAUUCCCCAAAACUGUCAAAGUCAUCAAAAACAAGAAAAGUCUGAACUAUCAUAGCCAAGAGAAGCCCCAGGAGAUAGGACAAGUAAACGUAAUGUGCUAUCCUGGUUGGGGUCCUGGAACAGAAAAGGACAGUAAGUGAAAACCAAGGAACUAUGACUAGAGUAUGGACUCCUAUUAAUAAUAAAGUAUGAAUAUUUGUUUAUUAAUUGUGACAAAUGUACUUCAUUAGUAUAAAAUGCUAACAAUAGUGGAAAUUAGGCCUGGAGCAUGUGGAAAUGCUCUGUAUUUCCUUCAAAACUUUCUUAUAAAUCUAAAAUAGUUUUAAAAUAAAAACUUUUAACAUUUUUUUAAAAAGUGACUGCCAAAAAAAAC
rnacentral:lncRNA from 1 species